rnacentral:lncRNA from 1 species
UUCUUGGCUCGCUUUGUCUGAAAUAUGACCUGCUUAGGGCUUAGAUUCUAGUCACAAAUCAUAAUAUGUCUCUAAUUCAUGCCUGUUAAGUUUUAUACUUGUUUGAGCUUCAAUCUAUCUGUUUGUUUGCUCUGUUUCCCUCCAUAUUUAUAUGACUAUAUCUAUUCCAUUUGCAAUUACUUCUGAAGCAUGAUUUCCUGUAAUUGUUCCUUACUUGAAUGUAUUUUUGUUGAUUCUCCUAUCUGCGUGAUUUCUUGGGCAAAGGAUAAUAAUUGGGUAUUUAAAUUUUAAACUUAUAUAUGUGUUUUGUUUAUGUGUUAAUAUGGGUGU